rnacentral:rRNA from 1 species
GAUGAACGCUGGCGGCGUGCCUAAUACAUGCAAGUCGAGCGAACAGACGAGGAGUUUGUUCCUCUGACGUUAGCGGCGGACGGGUGAGUAACACGUGGAUCACCUCCCUAUAAGACUGGGAACUCUUCGGAAAACCGGCGCAAAUACCGGAUAAUAUAUUGAAUCGUAUGGUUCAAUAGUGAAAUACGGUUUUGAUGUUACUUAUAGAUGGUUCCGCGCCGCAUUAGCUUGUUGGUAAGGUAACGGCUUACCACGGCAACACUGCGUAGACGAGCUGAGGGGUGGAUCGGCCACACGGGAACGGAAACACGGUCCAAACUCCUACGGGAGGCAGCAGUAGGGAAUCUUGCGCAAUGGGCGAAAGCCUGACGGAGCAACGCCGCGUGGGUGAUGAAGGUCUUCGGAUCUUAAAACUCUUUUAUUGGGGAAGAACAAAUGUGGAAUUAACUAUGCACGUCUUGACGGUACCUAAUCAGAAAGCCACGGCUAACUACGUG